GGAAGAGGCCCCACCGUGAUUCCCACAGUUAGGGCACUCUGGGUGCUAGAAAUUCCCAAAGAGAACUGGAGCGGUUGACGUCCUGGGUCAGCAGUCCCUGCUGCCUGUGGGGCUUCCUGCGAGCCCACCCCCACCCUCUCUCCCCUCUCAGGUUCGACGGAUUCUCCCGGAGGCGCAGGACAGUGAUUUACAACAUACACAACCCGAAGCCAAAUGAACACCCCCUCCUUCCAUGACUCAGGGUGCAGGAGCAGUGAGAAGUUUGCAACCAAAAAUACUUUUAAUUUCCUUCAAACACGGAUGCUGCCGUCCAUUUGGAGUAGAAUUCAACAUCAUGGCUCCACCGGAGUUGCAAAAACCCCUGCCUAGAAUCUCUCCUGAUUCUAGGUGUCCAAACAAGCAACACUGAAUUAAACGGGGCCACCUCGAGCCUGA